GUAAAGGGCAACCCACUCCAGUAUUCUUGCCUGGAAAAAUCCUAUGGACAGAGGAGCAUGGUGGGCUACAGUCCAUGGGGUUGCAAAGAGUCAGACACAACUUAGCGACUGAGUACAUACACACACAAACACACACACUCCUACAAGUCGACCAGACCUCCCCCAGUCCAAAGAAAGACCUGCUCAACCGUAAAGAGAAAUAUUCUCUCAGCAUCAACAAGACAACUCCUUAAAAGAUAACAUCUUGAUUUUGUAAGGGACCACGUGACCCACCACUCUGUACCCCAGAUUUGAAUUGUGCAAACUUUCUACAUUAUUAAAUGUACAGUCUUCUGUCUCAAAAACCUAAAUAACUGUGCUUUGGCCUCUAACAGGUGGAAGAGUCUCAGAACUUUCUGAGGUUAUAAUCCUCCAU
ensembl:lncRNA